CCUACGGGGGGCAGCAGUGGGGGAUAUUGCACAAUGGGGGAAACCCUGAUGCAGCGACGCCGCGUGAGUGAAGAAGUAUUUCGGUAUGUAAAGCUCUAUCGGCAGGGAAGAAAAAAAUGACAGUACCUGACUAAGAAGCCCCGGCUAACUACGUGCCAGCAGCCGCGGUAAUACGUAGGGGGCAAGCGUUAUCCGGAUUUACUGGGUGUAAAGGGAGCGUAGACGGCCAGGCAAGUCUGAAGUGAAAGCCCGGGGCUCAACCCCGGGACCGCUUUGGAAACUGUAUGGCUAGAGUGCGGGAGGGGUAGGCGGAAUUCCUAGUGUAGCGGUGAAAUGCGUAGAUAUUAGGAGGAACACCGGUGGCGAAGGCGGCCUACUGGACCGUAACUGACGUUGAGGCUCGAAGGCGUGGGGAGCAAACAGGAUUAGAUACCCGU
rnacentral:rRNA from 1 species